rnacentral:lncRNA from 1 species
UUAAUAGGCUCUUCCUUCAUCAGUCAACAGUUUCCUCAGGGCUGCCAGGACUCUGAGGUCACAGACAAGCCUUAGUGGUGCAACCAGACUCAGCUGUACCUGUCCAUGACAUCUGGUGACCUGAAUCCCAGCUUGCAGACUGACUUCCUGACUUGAACUUGGACCUGACUCAUCCUCAUGCAUUUCCUUGGUGAUCCAGGCUCUUGUCUGGACCUGUCCACCAUCUCUUUGUCUGCACAGAGCAGACCCUUGCUGUUCCCUCACUCUGGCUGAGGGCAGUAUUUUGGCACGAAAGUGCUGUACCUCUGCGAGCUCAUGUCUACUGCCCUUAGGCAUGGUUUGCUUCAUCCACACCUAGUGUGACACAGCAUUGAAAACUAAUGAACAUAUGUCACCUGAUACAAGCCAAAAUAUGGCUCAUUGGUCUAGUGUGAACAAGCUGGGGGAAAAGGAGAAGUCUAGGGAGACAGGACCAGGAAAUCAGACAGAAAAAAUUGCCAGUGAUUCCAGGAUGUUCCCAUCUGCUGUGAUGACAACAAGGAAGAUCCACCUGCUAUCAUUUUUGUGGAAACAGCUACCAACUACUGCUUCCCAACAGAGAGUGAUAUGUAGUCUCAUGUAUAGUUUUGUCUGCCACACAAAUUCCAGAUCAACAGGCUUUGUGCUGAGGUCCUUGCAUCACACUGGGGAUUCAGCUGUUGGAGUCUCCUUCCCACUUUUCCUCUGUAGCCUCUGACAGAGCUCUCUACAAACCUCCUCUGUGCGUACUUGAAUAACAGAUGUGGCACAUACUCACAUCCCUGCACAGAUGUUCUUGAAGCAUUUCUGAGCACUGCUUCCACCUUGGGACUUCUUCGGCCAUUUUUAUUUAUGAAACAGAAUUGAGACUGUGUCUCUAGCCCACUUUUCUCUAAUAUGAUCAGGAAAAAAAAUAAUCAUUUUUUCUACUCUCCCUACUAUUAGGAUACUCUGGUGCUGGCCUGGAAGGAGUUCAGAGCUGGCAUUAUAGUUUUCCUUUUGAAGAGCCUUCACAACUGAAACUUAGGACAUCUCUGCUUUGUUGUUUAUUUGUUUUGUUUUGUUUGGAAACUUUACAGGGAAUAGACAUUGUGCUCUGUGAGAGCUGCCCCUAUACUUUCUGUAGCACACUGUUUUUACGUCAUU